AUAGAAGACGUUGGAUUUCAGUCUAAUAAGUUGAGUGAAGAGGAGAUGCAUCAUGAGAAGUCCUCACAAGUAUGCAGGAUUCAAGUGAAUGGAAUGACUUGUACUUCAUGCUCCACAACUCUUGAAUCAGCAUUGCAGGUAAUCCCUGGUGUACAAAAAGCACGAGUCGCGUUAGCAACUCAAGAAGCUGAAAUCUGUUAUGAUCCUAAAAUAGUUGAGUGUAAUCAGUUGUUGGAAGCUAUUGGAAAUACAGGAUUUGAAGGCAUAUUGAUUAGUACAGGAGGAGAUAGUAGUCGAAUACUGCUUAAAGUUGAUGGAGUUGAUACUGAGAAUUGUGUUAAACUGAUACAGAAUUCCCUUCUUGCAAUACAAGGAGUUCAAGAAAUAGACUUUGACCUGCAGCUCAAGAAGUUAUCGGUCUCUUAUACAGCAGAUGUAACAGGACCUAGAGACUUUAUUCGCGCUAUUGAAUCAACUGAAUCAGGAUGUUUCAAGGCAUGUAUAUUUCCUCAGGGAAGAGAAAGAGAAGAACAUAGACAACACGAAAUCAGGCAAUAUUAUAAAGCGUUUAUUUGGAGUUUAGCAUUUACAAUUCCUGUGUUUUUUACUUCCAUGGUGUUUAUGUACAUUCCUGGUCUGAAGAAUGUUUUGGAGACUAAGGUUGCCAACAUGCUAACCGUUGGACAGGUUGUGAGAUGGGUAUUAUCUACACCAGUACAGUUCAUCAUUGGUCGAAAAUUCUAUGUUGGUGCUUAUAUUGCCUUAAGCCAUGGUUAUGCUAACAUGGAUGUUCUUAUUGCAUUAGGAACAAAUGCAGCAUAUUUUUAUUCAGUCUAUUCUGUACUAAGAGCUGCUACUUCUCCAACUUUCAAAGCCAGUGACUUUUUCGAGACUAGCUCGAUGCUUAUCUCGUUCAUUCUACUAGGAAAAUAUUUGGAAGUUUUGGCUAGAGGAAAGACAUCUGAGGCCAUUGCCAAGCUUAUGGAUUUAGCCCCAAAGACUGCAACACUGCUAACUCUAGAUGACAAAGGCAAUGUGCUGAAUGAGGAAGAAGUUGAUAGCCGAUUGAUACAAAAGAACGAUGUGAUUAAAACCAUUCCAGGCUCGAAAGUAGCCUGUGAUGGUCUUGUCAUCCGGGGACAAAGCCAUAUAAACGAAAGCAUGAUAACAGGAGAAUCUCGUCCGGUCACUAGAAAGACGGGUGACAUGGUGAUUGGAGGGACUUUAAAUGAGAAUGGGGUGUUACACAUCAAGGCAACAAGGGUUGGGUCAGAAACUGCUCUAUCGCAGAUUGUUCGGUUGGUUGAAUCAGCACAAAUGGCUAAAGCUCCUGUGCAAAGAUUUGCUGAUCACAUUUCCAAAUACUUUGUGCCUAUUGUGAGAUUAAGCACCCCUUACAUGUUCAUUGUUGUCAAUAUGUGUGUGUAUAUAUAUAUAACUAACCAACCUUAGCUGAAAAUUAGUGAUUAAUUCUGAUUUCUCAGGUCAUUGCUCUCUCAUUUUGUACUUGGGUUUCUUGGUUUUUAGCUGGAACUUUUAAUUCUUAUCCAAGAACUUGGAUUCCUUCUUCCAUGGAUAGCUUUGAGCUUGCCCUGCAGUUUGGCAUUUCUGUUAUGGUGGUAGCUUGCCCCUGUGCGCUCGGCCUAGCUACUCCCACGGCAGUUAUGGUUGGUACUGGAGUUGGCGCUUCCCUUGGUGUCCUUAUUAAAGGUGGUCAGGCAUUGGAAAGUGCACAAGAGGUCUGAAUUCAAACUCACUCUUCUUUCUAACAAAAUCCAAAUUUUGUUAAUGAACUUUUGGUGAACUGUUUGAUUCUACAGGUAAACUGUAUAGUUUUUGACAAGACUGGCACUCUUACUAUUGGCAAACCUAUGGUUGUCAAUACUAGGCUUUUCAAAAUUAUGGUACCUCAAGAAUUCUAUGAACUUAUUGCUGCUGCUGAGGUAGGAUAUUAUCGUGUUUAUGAUUCUUCAUCAGAAAGGUCAAUUCAUACCCUUAACAAAACGAGUUAAUUUCUCAGACGAUCACUCAAAACGAGUUUAAGUGUCUUGUACUGCAUUUUAAAUUGACAGGUAAAUAGUGAUCACCCCUUAGCCAAAGCAAUUGUUGAGUACGCGAAAAAAUUAAGAGGAGGUGAGGAGAACCUUGCCUGGCCUGAAGCCUCGGACUUCGAGUCGAUAACUGGCCAUGGUGUGAAAGCUAUCAUCUGUAACAAAGAAGUGAUUUUGGGGAAUAAAAGCUUGAUGAUGGAGCAAGGCAUUGCCAUUCCAGUUGAAGCUGAAGAAGCAU
rnacentral:lncRNA from 1 species